rnacentral:rRNA from 1 species
UUGUCUCAAAGAUUAAGCCAUGCAUGUCUCAGUACAAGCCGAAUUAAGGUGAAACCGCGAAAGGCUCAUUAAAUCAGUUAUGGUUCCUUAGAUCGUACCCACAUUUACUUGGAUAACUGUGGUAAUUCUAGAGCUAAUACAUGCAAACAGAGCUCCGACCGGAAACGGAAGGAGCGCUUUUAUUAGAUCAAAACCGAUCGGUGGCGUGGGGCGGUCUUCACCGUCUCCGUCAUCGUACAAUAUGGUGAAUCUGAAUAACUUCACGCUGAUCGCACGGUCUCGCACCGGCGACGCAUCUUUCAAAUGUCUGCCUUAUCAACUGUCGAUGGUAGGUUCUGCGCCUACCAUGGUCGUAACGGGUAACGGGGAAUCAGGGUUCGAUUCCGGAGAGGGAGCCUGAGAAACGGCUACCACAUCCAAGGAAGGCAGCAGGCGCGCAAAUUACCCACUCCCGGCACGGGGAGGUAGUGACGAAAAAUAACGAUACGGGACUCAUCCGAGGCCCCGUAAUCGGAAUGAGUACACUCUAAACCCUUUAACGAGGAUCAAUUGGAGGGCAAGUCUGGUGCCAGCAGCCGCGGUAAUUCCAGCUCCAAUAGCGUAUAUUAAAGUUGUUGCGGUUAAAAAGCUCGUAGUCGAAUCUGUGUCCCGCGCCGCCGGUUCAUCGUUCGCGGUGUUAACUGGCGUGCCGCGGGACGUCCUGCCGGUGGGCUUAGCUCGCGAGGGCGGCCCAACUCAAUCCCGCCGCGGUGCUCUUCAUUGAGUGUCGAGGUGGGCCGGCACGUUUACUUUGAACAAAUUAGAGUGCUUAAAGCAGGCUAAAACUUCGCCUGAAUACUGUGUGCAUGGAAUAAUGGAAUAGGACUCGGUUCUAUUUUGUUGGUUUUCGGAACCCCGAGGUAAUGAUUAAUAGGAACGGAUGGGGGCAUUCGUAUUGCGACGUUAGAGGUGAAAUUCUUGGAUCGUCGCAAGACGGACAGAAGCGAAAGCAUUUGCCAAAAACGCUUUCAUUGAUCAAGAACGAAAGUUAGAGGUUCGAAGGCGAUCAGAUACCGCCCUAGUUCUAACCAUAAACGAUGCCAGCUAGCGAUCCGCCGACGUUCCUCCGAUGACUCGGCGGGCAGCUUCCGGGAAACCAAAGCUUUUGGGUUCCGGGGGAAGUAUGGUUGCAAAGCUGAAACUUAAAGGAAUUGACGGAAGGGCACCACCAGGAGUGGAGCCUGCGGCUUAAUU